rnacentral:rRNA from 1 species
AAGACCUUGCACUUUUGGAGCGGCCGAUGUCUGAUUAGCUAGUUGGUGGGGUAAUGGCCUACCAAAGCUUCGAUCAGUAGCUGGUCUGAGAGGACGGCCAGCCACACUGGGACUGAGACACGGCCCAGACUCCUACGGGAGGCAGCAGUGGGGAAUUUUGGACAAUGGGCGCAAGCCUGAUCCAGCCAUGCCGCGUGAGUGAAGAAGGCCUUCGGGUUGUAAAGCUCUUUCAGCCGGGAAGAAAAGGUUGCGACUAAUAAUCGCAAUCCAUGACGGUACCGAAAGAAGAGGCACCGGCUAACUACGUGCCAGCAGCCGCGGUAAUACGUAGGGUGCGAGCGUUAAUCGGAAUUACUGGGCGUAAAGGGUGCGCAGGCGGUUUUGUAAGUCAGAUGUGAAAUCCCCGGGCUUAACCUGGGAACU